rnacentral:rRNA from 1 species
UACGUAGGGGGCAAGCGUUUGUCCGGAAUUAUUGGGCGUAAAGAGCGUGUAGGCGGUCCGGUAAGUCAGCUGUGAAAGUCAAGGGCUCAACCCUUGAAAGCCGGUUGAUACUGUCGGGCUAGAGUCCGGAAGAGGCGAGUGGAAUUCCCGGUGUAGCGGUGAAAUGUGUAGAGAGUCGGGAGGAACACCGGUGGCGAAGGCGGGUCUCUGGGCAUUUCCUGACGCUGAGGCGCGAAAGCCAGGGGAGCAAACGGG